rnacentral:rRNA from 1 species
UGAAGGAAUUAGGCAAAUUUCUUUUCGCCUGUUUAAUAAAAACAUGGCUUUUUGAUAAUAAUUUAAGGUCAGGCCUGCCCAAUGAUAAUUUAAAUGGCUGCGGUAUAUUGACCGUGCAAAGGUAGCAUAAUCAUUAGUUUUUUUAUUGGAAGCUGGAAUGAAGGGUUUGACGAGAAAGAAGCUGUCUUAAUUUAAUUAUUUGAAUUUUAUUUUUGAGUGAGAAAGCUUAAAUAGUUUUGAGGGACGAGAAGACCCUAUAGAAUUUAAUAGUUUAUGUAUUUUAGAAUUUUGGUUUAUGUUAAUUGAUGUAAAUUUAAAUUAAUUUGUUGGGGUGAUAGGAAAAUUUGAGUAACUUUUUUUUUGUAUUUUUCAUUAAUAAAUGAUUAUUUGAUCCAUUAGUAGUGAUUAUAAGAAAAAAUUACCUUAGGGAUAACAGCGUUAUUAAUCUGGAGAGUUCAAAUCGAUAGAUUAGAUUGCGACCUCGAUGUUGGAUUAAAAUUGGCUUUUGGUGAAGGGACUAAUAAGCUAAGUCUGUUCGACUUUUAAAAUUUUACAUGAUCUGAGUUUAAACCGGCGUGAGCCAGGUUGGUUUCUAUCUUU